rnacentral:lncRNA from 1 species
GAGAAGCCUGGGUGGGGUGUUGCUGCGGUAGCCAUGUUAUAACCUGGCAAAUGGGACGCAUGAUAGUGACGUAAUUGCUGGAGUAGCUCCUGAGUUUCCGCAGAUGAGCCGCGGGAAAGGAGACGAGGGGCGGUGGCCAGGCGGUUGCCCUGACAACGGGGAACCGACCGACUCUUCCCGGUAGGGAGAGGCGAUGGCGGAAUUACUCCUCUAAUGUCAAGGUAUUCUAAUCACAGAAUUACUGGAGCAUCAAGAAGUGCCUGCAUGCUUGGAAGGGCUUCCAGGCAGAUGAACACACCUCAGCACCGGGUGGCAUUUUCCCAGGGUGCAACCCGGACCGGCUCUGGGUCACACUGACAAGGGACGUAGGCAUGAAGAACAGGGCACAAGAUCCCGAGGAGCAAAGGGUCAUCAGCUGCCCCCAUCCAGCAGAAUCUCACAGACAGCGCUAUGUCUCAUGUCUUCUGGAAAACUUGCCAAUCCCUAGUGCAAGGGCCUGGAAUGUGAGCAGGAGCAAGGGAGUGCUCGGGAAAUGGAAACAAUGAAUGAAUCAAUCAGUCAAUCAGACAACAGGGUUAACAAUUUCCAGAGACAGCCCGUACAUAGAAGGAAUGUUUACUGAAAAAAAUGAAGAGGGGUCAGGGCAAGGCGAGGAGCAAGAAGCACCCCCAAGGAAACAGAGAAGACCAGUACAACUGUACCUCUUUGCCAGCUGCACCAUCCGUACCAGGUGGCACGUUCCAGAGCCAUAGCCUCUGUUCUAUUCAUCUCCAGUCUCCUGGGGUGGAAGUGUCCAGCACAGAGACUGCCACACUGCAAGACGAAGGGGCUGGACACACGGAAGAGAGAGGCGGAACCCUGCACCCCCUCAACCUCAGCCCUACUGAGUCUCCAAUGGGGCCACGCUUCUGAGUGCACCUCCCCGUGUCAUCUGUAAUGUGAGGGGGAACCAGGCUUGAUAUGGCAUUCCCAAUCCAGGGCCUCUGGACCCCUUGAGAUGCAUAAAAAUAGUGAUG